rnacentral:ribozyme from 1 species
ACAGCAGCCUGCAAAAAAAUAGGAAUGCACGUCAGAAAAACAAAAGAAGAAAAAAGAAGAUGAAAGACAACAGAAAAAUAACAGAAAAAGGUUCUCGUGCAAACUCGCAUCUGGAUACAUUUUUUUUCCUCUUUUCUU